CUCCUCCCCCCUCCGGCAAAGUCGCCUCGUCCGGCAUGGCCGCCACCGCCGCAGCAGCGACGCUCGCCCCCGCCUCCCCUCCGCUGCUGCCCGCCCUCCGCGGCAGCCGGGUGCGCCUCACCGCACGCCGCGCCGCCGCAUGCCGCUGCAGGGCCACGGCGCAGACGUUCCAGGGGGGCCCCGCCGCCAGCUACGCCCGCGAGAUGGAGCGCCUCUCUGCCAAGGAGUCCCUCCUCCUCGCCUUCAGAGAUGCUGGAGGCUUCGAAUCCUUGGUCAGCGGCAAGACGACGGAGAUGCAGAAGAUCGACGUCAACGAGAGAAUUGUGGGGCUCGAACGCCUCAACCCCACUCCCCGACCCACAACAUCACCCUAUCUGGAAGGUCGAUGGAACUUUGAGUGGUUCGGUGAUAACAGUCCUGGAGCAUUUGCAGCCCGGAUUUUGUUUGAGAGGUCACCUACAAGUGUCGCACACUUUACGGGACUUGAUGUUGUGAUCAGGGAUGGUUACUCCAAACUUUCAUCGAAUAUCAAGUUGUUUAAUACAAUACAAAACAGAUUUGUACUGACUACUCAACUGUCAGUGGAGGGGCCUAUCAGGAUGAAAGAGGAAUACGUUGAGGGAUUUUUAGAGACCCCCAAAAUAAGUGAGGAAACACUACCUGAGCAACUGAAGGGCUUUCUUGGACAAACUGCAGGAGCUCUACAACAACUUCCUGCUCCUAUAAGGGAUGCUGUUUCGGAGGGGGUUAAGUUACCUCUUAACGGGAUGUUCCAGCGCUUAUUCAUGAUUUCUUACCUGGAUGAAGAAAUAUUGAUUAUCAGAGACGCUGCUGGAGCACCUGAUGUCCUUACCAAACUGGAAGGGCCGCAACCGAAUCUAAUGGAGAACACGCCAGAUGUAGUGGUUCCAGAAUAUCAGAGCUAGUGUCUGGGUACUAAGUGGAACAUUCUGAUUAACUUUUUCAGAUAUACCUUUUCUGAUCGAACAUUUUCCAGGCAACUGCUAUUCUGGAGCUGAGCAAUACUCUGGGCAUUAAGCACUGAGAUAAGAUGAAAAAAAGUUGAUACACAAAAAGAGCAGCAAAUGGUCGCCAUUGUUACUUUUGUUCGAUUUAAUUCCAUUACCCAGCUUGCAUCGGUGUAAAGGUGAAAUAAAACAAAUGACAUGUUGUUC